rnacentral:rRNA from 1 species
AAAGCCUCUAAGCAUCAGGUAACAUCAAAUCGUACCCCAAACCGACACAGGUGGUCAGGUAGAGAAUACCAAGGCGCUUGAGAGAACUCGGGUGAAGGAACUAGGCAAAAUGGUGCCGUAACUUCGGGAGAAGGCACGCUGAUAUGUAGGUGAAGUCCCUUGCGGAUGGAGCUGAAAUCAGUCGAAGAUACCAGCUGGCUGCAACUGUUUAUUAAAAACACAGCACUGUGCAAACACGAAAGUGGACGUAUACGGUGUGACGCCUGCCCGGUGCCGGAAGGUUAAUUGAUGGGGUUAGCGCAAGCGAAGCUCUUGAUCGAAGCCCCGGUAAACGGCGGCCGUAACUAUAACGGUCCUAAGGUAGCGAAAUUCCUUGUCGGGUAAGUUCCGACCUGCACGAAUGGCGUAAUGAUGGCCAGGCUGUCUCCACCCGAGACUCAGUGAAAUUGAACUCGCUGUGAAGAUGCAGUGUACCCGCGGCAAGACGGAAAGACCCCGUGAACCUUUACUAUAGCUUGACACUGAACAUUGAGCCUUGAUGUGUAGGAUAGGUGGGAGGCUUAGAAGUGUGGACGCCAGUCUGCAUGGAGCCGACCUUGAAAUACCACCCUUUAAUGUUUGAUGUUCUAACGUUGACCCGUAAUCCGGGUUGCGGACAGUGUCUGGUGGGUAGUUUGACUGGGGCGGUCUCCUCCUAAAGAGUAACGGAGGAGCACGAAGGUUGGCUAAUCCUGGUCGGACAUCAGGAGGUUAGUGCAAUGGCAUAAGCCAGCUUGACUGCGAGCGUGACGGCGCGAGCAGGUGCGAAAGCAGGUCAUAGUGAUCCGGUGGUUCUGAAUGGAAGGGCCAUCGCUCAACGGAUAAAAGGUACUCCGGGGAUAACAGGCUGAUACCGCCCAAGAGUUCAUAUCGACGGCGGUGUUUGGCACCUCGAUGUCGGCUCAUCACAUCCUGGGGCUGAAGUAGGUCCCAAGGGUAUGGCUGUUCGCCAUUUAAAGUGGUACGCGAGCUGGGUUUAGAACGUCGUGAGACAGUUCGGUCCCUAUCUGCCGUGGGCGCUGGAGAACUGAGGGGGGCUGCUCCUAGUACGAGAGGACCGGAGUGGACGCAUCACUGGUGUUCGGGUUGUCAUGCCAAUGGCACUGCCCGGUAGCUAAAUGCGGAAGAGAUAAGUGCUGAAAGCAUCUAAGCACGAAACUUGCCCCGAGAUGAGUUCUCCCUGACUCCUUGAGAGUCCUGAAGGAACGUUGAAGACGACGACGUUGAUAGGCCGGGUGUGUAAGCGCAGCGAUGCGUUGAGCUAACCGGUACUAAUGAACCGUGAGGCUUAACCUU